GCUAUCAUAGCUCAAUCUGGUAGAGCAAUUCCUUUGUAAGGAAAAGGUUCCGGGUUCGAUUCCUGGUGAUAGCU
rnacentral:tRNA from 1 species